UCUGAGGGGCUGCGCUGGGACCUGCGGGGCUGCACCGGAGCCUAGCCCACCCUCAGGCCCCGGCAGGAGCUGUACCGGACCAGUCUCCAGCCAGCAGCAAACCCGUUGUGGGGGGAUCCUGGCAGUGCCCCGUGAGGAGCUGGUGUACUAAGGUCUAAGUUGAGAUUGCUCCCUCUGCUGAAGUGACAGCUCCUGGGUGAUGUGUGAUACUGCACAGCCAAGAAAUCUGCAUGCAGGAUGUGUUUUCUCCAGCUCCAUAAUUUUUCAAGAAGAGGUUUAGCAGAGUUCCCUCAUAUUUCCUUGGGGAGAGAAAACAAAGUUUCCAGUUCCGUGUGUGUGACAUGGUCAUUACUCAGUCACAAAAUGGUGGCCUCAAAAGGUCUCCUGUCAAGUCUCUCGGCCCGUGCAGGCUCACUGAUUUCUGUUACUCGCUGUGAUUUUUAGCAUUGAGGCUGAAGGGUUUCCAACUUGGUCUGUUCAGUGGUGGGAAUCAAAGAGCCAUCAAUAGAAACAGAAAGGCGAACGUGAGAGCACAAUUCAACGAGGGCAGAACCCAGCAGAGGUAUUUACUCUUUAGGGCAAUGUGCUCUGUAGAAAUCAAAGACCUGUUUCAGCAGGAUGCUUUGAGCACGUGCCGAACUUCAAGGGUGGAAGUGGUUUGCUCAGUGGCCUUCAGGCUUUUUAAGUAAGAAUAUGCUCGAAGCCAUUCCAAGAUCAGCUCCUUGGGGAAGAACACCAGAGGCAGUGUAAGCCUUGGGCCUAGGAUUGAACUCUGGUCAUGCAGUGCAGCAUUUAAUCUGCUCCAUCUCAUUUGUACUCUGGGACAGUCCGGUGAGUCAGCGUUGUCGAAUCUAGAGCAUCUUUACAGAUGGGGCAGUAUUUCCAUUCAUCCUAUAUUCUGAUACUUUGUUGCAAGUCAGUAAAAAAUAAGAAAUGAAUGUUCAGGUACAUGAAGAACUUUAGAAAAUUAAGCUAGAACUGAAUGACAUUGAUCUCCUGAGAAAGAGGCUUUGUAUCUUGUCUUUUUGUAUCUUUCUUUCUGUAGUAAUACCGCACCAAAACCGAUCCCACUUAAUAACAAAAACAAAAGGCCAUUGUUCUGUCAAGUAUUUUAUGUUGUUUUCAAGCAUCCGAGGUCUCUCCUGAAUCCUUUUCUGUGGUAUCUCAUUGCUGACCUCGUAAUUAUAAUCAUACAUUCAAAACUUAAAUUCUGCUAAUAUGACGUAGAUGAGAAGCCAGGCAGUUAAAUGACUUGCCCAAGGCUAUGAAACAUCUUUCUAGAGAGCUGAAAUCAGACCUUUUACCAUGUCUGCCUGGUCAGACACAAGGUCUGUGCUUUUAUGUUCUCAGGCAUGUUUCUUCAUGCAAAUGUUAUUUGGACUGCAUGCUUGACAUAUACCAAAGGCCAUGCUGCCCAUUGAAUUUUCUCCUGGAUUGUUUUUCACCUUAAACAUAAUUGGGAUUUUAAUGAAACCCUUCUUUUCUUCUUAAUUAAACCACUUUCAUAACUAUUUUUCAGAGUUUAUAUUCUACAGGUGUUGUUUAUUAAUUUAAGCUUAUAGUGAUAAUAUGAAACCGCCAGCCAUUCAAGCAAAAUGUUAAACUAAACUGUGAGGAGUAGAGUGACUUUGUACAAAAUAGCCAUAAGUUUGUUGCUACUUUUUUUAACCAACCAGACUUGUUCUAUAUUGCUCUGUUAGUCAUUUUCCCCAUCCCCUUUUCUCCUGAAGGAUUCCUUUUACCCACUUACCUUAUCCAUGGGCUACAUAAACACAGAGGCAGGACUUUGGGCAUCCUCUGUGUACUUGUUAAAUCACAAAUAUUGAUAUUUUCCUUCACACAUAUCUUACUAAAUGCAAAUAAAAUAGUAGGCAAGGCUGCAAUGAA